UAGCCUAGUGGUUAAGGCAAUGGUUCGCCAAUCCGGAGACGGCGGGUUCGAUUCCCGU
rnacentral:tRNA from 1 species